AUUCUACUCCCUCCGUUGCACAAUACAUGCCUUCUAUUUGUCAAAAUAUAUAUGUAUCUAGACAUGUUUUAGUAUAUAGGUACAUCCAUUUUUGGACAAAUGUAAGUUAAGUAUUUUGGAACGGAGGGAGUAGACA
rfam:Triticum urartu cultivar G1812 contig650150, whole genome shotgun sequence.